CUUGUUUUACAGCUGAAGACCAGAAACGAAAAGAAAAUCGGUCAAAGCAGUCCUAAAGAAAUGAGGAAUGAACAUGGACCUCUUGUGCCCCAAAAGAAAAGACAGAAAGCUUCUAGAAUGAGCAAAUCAGCUGUGCAUCAUCUCUGUGGUUUGGGAAGGAAAUGACUGAAUAUGAUGAAGCCAGUUGAUGAAGAUAUCAAUUAAAUGGCCACCGAGUGCAGCACUGCUACCUGAACCCAUCAGUUAUCUGCUGUGAAGACUGCAUUCACAAACCGCUCUACUGCGACAGCUCAGAUGUUACGGCCCGUAAAAGUAAACAUCACAACUAAACAACGAGAGCUAGUUUGUGAGGAGGACUGUCAGAGACUCCAGCGACCCGAGCCAUGGAUUGCUCUCACCCUUACCAUCAGGCAGACGUUAUCACAGAACCUACACCAGCAGACAGUGAGACAAGUUCCUUUCACAGGCAAUCAGACUCAACUGCACUCAUACCAGUAAAACCAUACACACCCGACACCCCACCAACCUCAUAUGCCCCGCACUCUUAUCAGUUACGCUGACUGGACUCAAUAUUAUUAUGCACCCUGACAUUCUGUUUGCACUAAUUCAUACCGUGCUGCACUGCAGAGAUGUAUGUGUACUGUGCUUAUUAUUGUUUUCAAUUCAUGCUCUCUGUAUAGCAUAAUUUUUUUACAUAUAUUGUUCUCUACCUGUAUUGAGUCCCUUACAUAUGUGUGUUGCAUAUAUAUUCAGAAUUUGUAUUUCAUAUAUAUUCAUUAAUUAAUUCAUUUGUCAUCCAUACUGUCAUG